ACCCCGUCCGUGGGACCAGAGGGAAGAUGUCUGACUCAGAGGAACGACAAGACCGUCGCGCUGGCCACACUUCGGAGAGCCGAAAAGAAGAGAAUUUCAGCUUGUUCUCAAAGAAUACCAAAAUAGUCUAAGAAAGAAAAAAAAAGUCUU
rnacentral:lncRNA from 12 species